CUGCUGCCUUCCGUAGGAGUUUGGGCCGUGUCUCAGUCCCAAUGUGGCCGUCCACCCUCUCAGGCCGGCUACUGAUCGUCGCCUUGGUGGGCCGUUACCCCGCCAACAAGCUAAUCAGACGCGGGUCCAUCUUACACCACCGGAGUUUUUCACACAAAUCCAUGCGGCUUCGUGCGCUUAUGCGGUAUUAGCACCUAUUUCUAAGUGUUAUCCCCCAGUGUAAGGCAGGUUACCCACGCGUUACUCACCCGUCCGCCCACUAAGUAA
rnacentral:rRNA from 1 species